CGAUGAAGGGCGUGCUAAUCUGCGAUAAGCGCCGGUAAGGUGAUAUGAACCGUUAUAACCGGCGAUACCCGAAUGGGGAAACCCAGUGUGAUUCGUCACACUAUCAUUAACUGAAUCCAUAGGUUAAUGAGGCGAACCGGGGGAACUGAAACAUCUAAGUACCCCGAGGAAAAGAAAUCAACCGAGAUUCCCCCAGUAGCGGCGAGCGAACGGGGAGGAGCCCAGAGCCUGAAUCAGCAUGUGUGUUAGUGGAAGCGUCUGGAAAGGCGCGCGAUACAGGGUGACAGCCCCGUACACAAAAGCGCAUAUGCUGUGAGCUCGAUGAGUAGGGCGGGACACGUGGUAUCCUGUCUGAAUAUGGGGGGACCAUCCUCCAAGGCUAAAUACUCCUGACUGACCGAUAGUGAACCAGUACCGUGAGGGAAAGGCGAAAAGAACCCCGGCGAGGGGAGUGAAAAAGAACCUGAAACCGUGUACGUACAAGCAGUGGGAGCCCCACCACUAAGCCAGUGGUGAACUCCACAUACGCAUCCUUUGCUGAGGAGACGGUUAACGGAGCGAAAGCGACGUUCAACCUCAAAAGAAGCAGAGGGGGCUUAGUGGUGGGGUGACUGCGUACCUUUUGUAUAAUGGGUCAGCGACUUAUAUUCUGUAGCAAGGUUAACUGUAUAGGGGAGCCGGAGGGAAACCGAGUCUUAACCGGGCGUUAAGUUGCAGGGUAUAGACCCGAAACCCGGUGAUCUAGCCAUGGGCAGGUUGAAGGUUGGGUAACACUAACUGGAGGACCGAACCGACUAAUGUUGAAAAAUUAGCGGAUGACCUGUGGCUGGGGGUGAAAGGCCAAUCAAACCGGGAGAUAGCUGGUUCUCCCCGAAAGCUAUUUAGGUAGCGCCUCGUGAAUUCAUCUCCGGGGGUAGAGCACUGUUUCGGCUAGGGGGCCAUCCCGGCUUACCAACCCGAUGCAAACUGCGAAUACCGGAGAAUGUUAUCACGGGAGACACACGGCGGGUGCUAAUGUCCGUCGUGAAGAGGGAAACAACCCAGACCGCCAGCUAAGGUCCCAAAGUCAUGGUUAAGUGGGAAACGAUGUGGGAAGGCCCAGACAGCCAGGAUGUUGGCUUAGAAGCAGCCAUCAUUUAAAGAAAGCGUAAUAGCUCACUGGUCGAGUCGGCCUGCGCGGAAGAUGUAACGGGGCUAAACCAUGCACCGAAGCUGCGGCAGCGACACCGUGUGUUGUUGGGUAGGGGAGCGUUCUGUAAGCCUGUGAAGGUGUGCUGUGAGGCAUGCUGGAGGUAUCAGAAGUGCGAAUGCUGACAUAA
rnacentral:rRNA from 1 species